UGCGUAGGCGGUUUCGAAAGUCCGAUGUGAAAUCCCCGGGCUUAACCUGGGAACUGCGUUGGAAACUACGAGGCUAGAGUGCGGCAGAGGGGGGUGGAAUUCCAGGUGUAGCAGUGAAAUGCGUAGAGAUCUGGAGGAACACCGAUGGCGAAGGCAGCCCCCUGGGUUAGCACUGACGCUCAUACACGAAAGCGUGGGGAGCAAACAGGAUUAGAUACCCUGGUAGUCCACGCCCUAAACGAUGGCAACUAGUUGUUGGAGGAUGAACUCCUUUAGUAACGCAGCUAACGCGUGAAGUUGCCCGCCUGGGGAGUACGGUCGCAAGAUUAAA
rnacentral:rRNA from 1 species